rnacentral:rRNA from 1 species
GAUGAACGCUGGCGGCGUGCCUAAUACAUGCAAGUCGAGCGAACGGACGAGAAGCUUGCUUCUCUGACGUUAGCGGCGGACGGGUGAGUAACACGUGGAUAACCUACCUAUAAGACUGGGAUAACUUCGGGAAACCGUAGCUAAUACCGGAUAAUAUUUUGAACCGCAUGGUUCAAAAGUGAAAGACGGUUUUGCUGUCACUUAUAGAUGGAUCCGCGCUGCAUUAGCUAGUUGGUAAGGUAACGGCUUACCAAGGCAACGAUGCAUAGCCGACCUGAGAGGGUGAUCGGCCACACUGGAACUGAGACACGGUCCAGACUCCUACGGGAGGCAGCAGUAGGGAAUCUUCCGCAAUGGGCGAAAGCCUGACGGAGCAACGCCGCGUGAGUGAUGAAGGUCUUCGGAUCGUAAAACUCUGUUAUUAGGGAAGAACAUAUGUGUAAGUAACUAUGCACAUCUUGACGGUACCUAAUCAGAAAGCCACGGCUAACUACGUG